AUGGAGGGGAGCGGCGGCGGCAAGCACUUCAUCCUCGUCCACGGCCUCUGCCACGGCGCGUGGUGCUGGUACAAGCUGGCGCCGAUGCUCCGCGCCGCGGGGCACCGGGUCACCGCGCUCGACAUGGCCGCGUCCGGCGCGCACCCGGCGCGCAUGGACGAGGUGCCGUCCUUCGAGGACUACUCGCAGCCGCUGCUCGACGCCCUGGCCGCGGCACCGCCCGGCGAGAGGCUGGUCCUGGUCGGGCACAGCCUCGGCGGGCUCAACCUCGCGCUCGCCAUGGAGAGAUUCCCGCGCAAGGUCGCCGCGGCCGUGUUCCUCGCCGCGUGCAUGGCGUGCGCCGGCAGGCACAUGGGCGUCACCAUCGAGGAGUUCUCCAGAAGAACCCGAUCUGAUUUUUUCAUGGAUAGCAAGAGCAUGGUUCUGAACGCUGAUCAAGGUGCUCGGCCUGCAGUCGCGCUUGGCCCCAAAUUGUUGGCAGCGAAAUUGUACGAUCGAAGCUCAGUCGAGGACCUGAUGCUGGCUACGUUGCUGGUGAGACCAGGCUGCCAGUUCGUGGACGACCCGACGAUGAGGGACGAGGCUCUGCUCACCGACGCCAACUACGGGUCGGUGAAGAAGGUGUACGUGGUGCUCAAGGACGAUGCUUCCACCUCCGAGGAGAUGCAGCGCUGGAUGGUCGACCUGAGCCCUGGCACAGAAGCCGAGGAGCUCGCCGGAGCCGACCACAUGGCCAUGUGCUCAAAGCCCAGGGAACUCUGCGAUGUUCUUCUCAGGAUUGCCGACAAGUAUGACUGA
rnacentral:rRNA from 1 species